rnacentral:rRNA from 1 species
UACGUAGGGUGCAAGCGUUGUUUCGGAAUUACUGGGCGUAAAGGGCUCGUAGGUGGCCAACUAAGUCAGACGUGAAAUCCCUCGGCUCAACCGGGGGAACUGCGUCUGAUACUGGGUGGCUUGAAUCCGGGAGAGGGAUGCGGAAUUCCAGGUGUAGCGGUGAAAUGCGUAGAUAUCUGGAGGAACACCGGUGGCGAAGGCGGCAUCCUGGACCGGCAUUGACGCUGAGGCGCGAAAGCCAGGGGAGCAA